UUUAAGUGCAAUUGGGAGUUUCCAUGUCUAACAUUUAACCGUUCGUCUUAUUUAAAAUUUUUUAUAAUUAUUAUAUUUAUCAUUAUUAGAUAAGAAAACAUAAAUAGUAGUUUAUGUGUGACUUAUUUUUAUAAUUUUUUAUAAAAUUUUUAAAUAAGUUGAACGGUUAAACAUUAGAUAUAUAAACCCACAACUUCAAUUAAA
rfam:Oryza glaberrima chromosome 6 Oglab06_0229_6, whole genome shotgun sequence.